rnacentral:lncRNA from 1 species
AGAAAGUAUAAACACUGAAGUUUAUCGGGAUAAUUGUUUUUAUUGUUUAUUACAAAGAUAGAUGUUGGAUAUAGUAUACAACAUCUACAUCUGCUAACUAGUACUCGAACACUUCAAAUAUUACAAUUCAAGGGGGAUGACCUGAACAUCUAAUACAACAUGUUCAUUAACGACUUAAUUUAGUUGUUCACUCCGUACAAGGAGUGAUCUCGAACACAAAUACGCAUUGACAAGUAAAGAAAGCGCAUUAAUGUCAGCACAUGAUUAAAACUUGCUCCUGUACCAAUACACUCCUUUUGUCUCACCUUCAUCUUUCUCGACAUAAAUACACUCCUUCAUUUCUCUAUACAUCGCCUUAAGUAUUGGAGUUCCAUCAUAUUGAUAAUAUUCACCCAAUAUUGGCUUCAUUGCCUCAGUUGCUUCUAGUCCAUGAUAAUGUGGGAUCAUAGAGAAUAUGUGGUGACAAACAUGGGCAUUACAAACAUUAUGAAACACCUUGUUCAAAAUUCCAUAAUCUCUAUCUACGGUGCAUAGGGCUCCUCUUAACCAGUCCCACUCGGUGGAAUCAUAGUAAGGCAAGGAAGGGUGAGUGUGGUUCAAUAUGGUGAUCAACACGAACCAACCGUUAACAACUAACAAUGGACCUCCAUACACGCAAAAAACCCAUGCAAAUCCUUUGGCUAAAACAAGACGAUAUAGACCAUAGAUGACUGCAAGAAUAGCAAUAUCAGAGAUGAUGAUCUCUUUGCGCUCACGGUCUGAAUAGAGUGGGCUAUGAGGAUCAUAAUGGGAAGUCCACCUUUCGUACUUGUGGCCGGAUACAUUGAACAUCAAGUAUAAAGGAAAACCAAUAAGGAGUGUGGUAAUCCAAACAAACACUCGGCCAGGUGGAUUGUUAAGGAUUUUGUAAUAGUUGCGGAUGUUGGACUUAAAUCUUGGGACAUACACCUCGUCAUUUUCAAGGGAUUGGGUGUUG